rnacentral:rRNA from 1 species
UGGGGAAUUCUCCGCAAUGGGCGAAAGCCUGACGGAGCAAUGCCGCGUGGAGGUGGAAGGCCUACGGGUCGUCAACUUCUUUUCUCGGAGAAGAAACAAUGACGGUAUCUGAGGAAUAAGCAUCGGCUAACUCUGUGCCAA